GGAGUUAUAGCUCAGUGGUAGAGCGCUCCCCUGGCAUGUGUGAGGUCCUGGGUUUGAUCCUCAGUACCA
rnacentral:tRNA from 1 species